GAUAAACGCUGGCGGCGUGCAUAACACAUGCAAGUCGAACGAUGAAACUCUUUAGAAUUCUCCGGAAGGACAAAGAAUGGAUUAGUGGCGGACGGGUGAGUAACGCGUGAGUAACCUGCCUUGCACAAGGGGAUAGCCGUUGGAAACGACGAAUAAUACCCUAUGAUAUAAACUCUUCGCAUGAAGGGCUUAUCAAAGAUUUAUCGGUGUAAGAUGGACUCGCGUCUGAUUAGCUAGUUGGUGGGGUAACAGCCUACCAAGGCAACGAUCAGUAGCCGGACUGAGAGGUUGAACGGCCACAUUGGGACUGAGACACGGCCCAG
rnacentral:rRNA from 1 species